UACAGAGGUCCCAAGCGUUGUUCGGAUUCACUGGGCGUAAAGGGUGCGUAGGCGGGUUGGUAAGUCCGUGGUGAAAUCCCCAAGCUUAACUUGGGAACUGCCGUGGAUACUAUCAAUCUUGAAUAUCGUGGAGGUAAGCGGAAUAUGUCAUGUAGCGGUGAAAUGCUUAGAUAUGACAUAGAACACCAAAUUGCGUAGGCAGCUUACUACACGAUCAUUGACGCUGAGGCACGAAAAGCGUGGGGGAGCAAAACAGGAUUAGAAA
rnacentral:rRNA from 1 species